GAUGAACGCUGGCGGCGUGCCUAACACAUGCUAGUGGAGCGACGAACCCGGACUUGUCCGGGGGCAAAACCGCGAACGGGUGAGUAACACGCGGAUUAUCUGCCCCAAUGACCGGUACAACCCGAGGAAACUCGAGCUAAUACCGGAUGUGCUCUUCGGAGGAAAGGAAGCUUCGGUCUCCGCAUUGGGGUGAGUCCGCGGCGCAUUGGCUAGUUGGUGUGAUAAUGGCCUACCAAGGCGACGAUGCGUAGCUGUUCUGAGAGGACGAUCAGCCACACUGGAACUGAGACACGGUCCAGACUCCUGCGGGAGGCAGCAGUGGGGAAUCUUGCGCAAUGCACGAAAGUGUGACGCAGCAACGCCGAGUGCGGGAAGAAGGUCUUCGGAUCGUAAACCGCUUUCAGUUGGGACGAGGGUCAGCUGGUGAAUAGCCAGUCUGACUGACGGUACCUUCAGAAGAAGCCCCGGCUAACUACGUGCCAGCCGCCGCGGUAACAC
rnacentral:rRNA from 1 species